rnacentral:rRNA from 1 species
GAUGAACGCUGGCGGCGUGCCUAAUACAUGCAAGUCGAGCGAACAGAUGAGAAGCUUGCUUCUCUGAUGUUAGCGGCGGACGGGUGAGUAACACGUGGGUAACCUACCUAUAAGACUGGGAUAACUCCGGGAAACCGGGGCUAAUACCGGAUAAUAUUUUGAACCGCAUGGUUCAAUAGUGAAAGACGGUUUCGGCUGUCACUUAUCGAUGGACCCGCGCCGUAUUAGCUAGUUGGUAAGGUAACGGCUUACCAAGGCGACGAUACGUAGCCGACCUGAGAGGGUGAUCGGCCACACUGGAACUGAGACACGGUCCAGACUCCUACGGGAGGCAGCGGUAGGGAAUCUUCCGCAAUGGGCGAAAGCCUGACGGAGCAACGCCGCGUGAGUGAUGAAGGUCUUCGGAUCGUAAAACUCUGUUGUUAGGGAAGAACAAAUUUGUUAGUAACUGAACAAGUCUUGACGGUACCUAACCAGAAAGCCACGGCUAACUACGUGCCAGCCGCCGCUGUAA